CGCUCUCAUUUAAAUUUGAAGGUACGUUUAGUUCCAAAUUUUUUUUUAUUAUUAUUAUUUUUGUUUAUCUUCGAUCUGGAUCCUUGAUUUUCAUCAGAGGACUGUAAUUUCCAUGGUUAUUUUGGGUAGUGAUUUUGUCUAUAAAUGUGGGUUUAGGGCAUGGCUUCCUUCAGAAGUUAAAUACAUGCAUACAAAUUAAGAAGUGAAGGUGAAAAUCCUAUAAUAUGAAAAACUUUCAUCUGCUUGAGCCAUUUUUGCAUUAUGGUCUGCAAUUGGGUGAUUCCUGCUUUGCCAAUUGUGUCAGAAUAGCAGCUUAGUGUGUUGGCGUCAUCAUCAUAUUCAUCUGAGCUUGGUUUCUUGUCUUUGAAAACACAUUAGGCAUUUAGUGUUUAUUUUUGGUUUUAGAUUUGCCCAACUAUGUGAUUUGUGAUUCUUGCCCUUUUCUAUUGCGUGUUAACACAUUUCAAAAAGGUAAAAACGCAAAACCCAUUUCCUAGCUUUGAUUCAAAUUUUGUUUAAUGAGCCUCUGUUUUGCAAUUCUGUGCUUUUGAAUGCACAGAGAUAUUGGAGAGUUAUUUAAUAGCAUGAACAAAAAAAUGAGAAAUUUGUCAACAAAUUAUUUAAAAAAAAAAUUCUCAAUGACGCAAAUUGGAGAAUAAUAGGCAGAUUUGAAAAGUUUAGUGACUUGAAAAUGGAUUUUUGCUAAAAAGAGAUGAAUUGUGGUGGAUUGAUUAUACUUGGCAUAGGAUUCCUGACAAUGAAAUCAAACACUGUGUGGAAAAUUUUGUGUACAGAACAAGUGCCAAAACUUAGCUAAUUGAUAUUAUUUACAUUGACGAGUCAUUGAAAUAUCCAAAAAAUAGUUUGGAUUUUACUUGGAUUAGAGGAUGUUACCAUGAGGGAAGGAUAUAUAUGGCAAUUUUGAAUAAUGUAUGUAGGGAUGUGCAAAGAUGUGCAAACAUGCCAUUGCCAACUUUUAACCGAGUUUUCCUCUACUGCUGCCAUGAAUGCUGUUCUGUGAUAAAGUUCUUUAUAUUUCCAUUUAAAAGAGAUGAAAAUAUGUGGAUGAUAUAGAUGGUUUUAUUUUAUAAAUUUGCUUAGGAAGGAGAGAGUGGAGGGGGGCAGUUUUUUUUAUUGUAAUAAAUUAAAUGACAUUUUUUGUUAACCAAUGCCAAGGGUGGCAGAUAAAAACAAAAUGCCAAGGGUCCAGACAAAGAGUGUCAAGUACCCUGAGGGUUGGGAAUUGAUUCAGUCUACUCUACUCGAACUACAAGCAAAGAUGAGAGAA
rnacentral:misc_RNA from 1 species